rnacentral:rRNA from 1 species
UACAGAGGUCUCAAGCGUUGUCCGGGUUCAUUGGGCGUAAAGAGCGUGUAGGCGGCCAGGUAAGUCGGUUGUGAAAGUCCAGGGCUCAACCCUGGGAUGCCGACCGAUACUGUCGGACUAGAGUUCGGAAGAGGCGAGUGGAAUUCCCGGUGUAGCGGUGAAAUGCGCAGAUAUCGGGAGGAACACCAAUGGCGAAGGCAGCUCGCUGGGACGUUACUGACGCUGAGACGCGAAAGCGUGGGGAGCAAACAGG